AUUGAACGCUGGCGGCAGGCCUAACACAUGCAAGUCGAGCGGAUGACGGGAGCUUGCUCCUUGAUUCAGCGGCGGACGGGUGAGUAAUGCCUAGGAAUCUGCCUGGUAGUGGGGGACAACGUUUCGAAAGGAACGCUAAUACCGCAUACGUCCUACGGGAGAAAGCAGGGGACCUUCGGGCCUUGCGCUAUCAGAUGAGCCUAGGUCGGAUUAGCUAGUUGGUGGGGUAAUGGCUCACCAAGGCGACGAUCCGUAACUGGUCUGAGAGGAUGAUCAGUCACACUGGAACUGAGACACGGUCCAGACUCCUACGGGAGGCAGCAGUGGGGAGUAUUGGACAAUGGGCGAAAGCCUGAUCCAGCCAUGCCGCGUGUGUGAAGAAGGUCUUCGGAUUGUAAAGCACUUUAAGUUGGGAGGAAGGGCAGUGAGCUAAUACCUUGCUGUUUUGACGUUACCAACAGAAUAAGCACCGGCUAACUUCGUGCCAGCCGCCGCCGUAAAAC
rnacentral:rRNA from 1 species